AGAGUUUGAUCAUGGCUCAGGACGAACGCUGGCGGCGCGCCUAACACAUGCAAGUCGAACGAGAGAUGAGGAGCUUGCUCUUCAAAUCGAGUGGCGAACGGGUGAGUAACGCGUGAGGAACCUGCCUCGAAANAGGGGGACAACAGUUGGAAACGACUGCUAAUACCGCAUAAGCCCACGGCUCGGCAUCGAGCAGGGGAAAAGGAGCAAUCCGCUUUGAGAUGGCCUCGCGUCCGAUUAGCUAGUUGGUGAGGUAACGGCCCACCAAGGCGACGAUCGGUAGCCGGACUGAGAGGUUGAACGGCCACAUUGGGACUGAGACACGGCCCAGACUCCUACGGGAGGCAGCA
rnacentral:rRNA from 1 species